rnacentral:rRNA from 1 species
CAUGUCUAAGUAUAAGCAAUUAUACCGCGAAACUGCGAAUGGCUCAUUAUAUAAGUUAUCGUUUAUUUGAUAGUACCUUACUACUUGGAUAACCGUGGUAAUUCUAGAGCUAAUACAUGCUAAAAAUCCCGACUUCGGAAGGGAUGUAUUUAUUAGAUUAAAAACCAAUGCCCUUCGGGGCUCACUGGUGAUUCAUGAUAACUCCUCGAAUCGCAUGGCCUUGUGCCGGCGAUGGUUCAUUCAAAUUUCUUCCCUAUCAACUUUCGAUGUUUGGGUAUUGGCCAAACAUGGUUGCAACGGGUAACGGAGGGUUAGGGCUCGACCCCGGAGAAGGAGCCUGAGAAACGGCUACUACAUCCAAGGAAGGCAGCAGGCGCGCAAAUUACCCAAUCCCGACACGGGGAGGUAGUGACAAUAAAUACUGAUACAGGGCUCUUUUGGGUCUUGUAAUUGGAAUGAGUACAAUUUAAAUCCCUUAACGAGGAACAAUUGGAGGGCAAGUCUGGUGCCAGCAGCCGCGGUAAUUCCAGCUCCAAUAGCGUAUAUUAAAGUUGUUGUGGUUAAAAAGCUCGUAGUUGAACCUUGGGCCUGGCUGGCCGGUCCGCCUCACCGCGUGUACUGGUCCGGCCGGGCCUUUCCCUCUGUGGAACCCCAUGCCCUUCACUGGGUGUGGCGGGGAAACAGGACUUUUACUGUGAAAAAAUUAGAGUGCUCCAGGCAGGCCUAUGCUCGAAUACAUUAGCAUGGAAUAAUAGAAUA